AAACUAACAAGGAUUCCCCUAGUAGCGGCGAGCGAAGCGGGAAGAGCUCAAAUUUAUAAUCUGGCACUUUCAGUGUCCGAGUUGUAAUCUCUAGAAGUGUUUUCCGCGUUGGACCGCACACAAGUCUGUUGGAAUACAGCGGCACAGUGGUGACACCCCCGUACACGGUGCGGACGCCCAGCGCUUUGUGAUACACUUUCGAAGAGUCGAGUUGUUUGGGAAUGCAGCUCAAAUUGGGUGGUAAAUUCCAUCUAAAGCUAAAUAUUGGCGAGAGACCGAUAGCGAACAAGUACCGUGAGGGAAAGAUGAAAAGCACUUUGGAAAGAGAGUUAACAGUACGUGAAAUUGUUGGAAGGGAAACGCUUGAAGUCAGACUUGCUUGCCGGAGCUUGCUUCGGUUUGCAGGCCAGCAUCAGUUUUCCGGGGUGGAUAAUGGCGGUUAGAAGGUAGCAGCUUCAGCUGUGUUAUAGCUUU
rnacentral:rRNA from 1 species